rnacentral:miRNA from 1 species
AGGCUGGAGUGAGCGGAG